AGUGAACGCUGGCGGCAGGCCUAACACAUGCAAGUCGAACGGCAGCACAAGAGAGCUUGCUCUCUGGGUGGCGAGUGGCGGACGGGUGAGGAAUGCAUCGGAAUCUGCCCAUUUGUGGGGGAUAACCUCGGGAAACCGGGACUAAUACCGCAUACGACCUACGGGUGAAAGCAGGGGAUCUUCGGACCUUGCGCAGAUGGAUGAGCCGAUGCCGGAUUAGCUAGUUGGAGGGGUAAAGGCCCACCAAGGCGACGAUCCGUAGCUGGUCUGAGAGGAUGAUCAGCCACACUGGGGGUGAGACGCGCCCGAGACCCCUGGGAGGGGCAGGAGGGGAAAAUUUUGGACAGGGGGCGAAAGCCUGAUCGAGCCAUGCCGCGUGUGUGAAGAAGGCCUGCGGGUUGAAAAGCACUUUUGUUGGAAAAAAAAAGCAGCCGGUAAAUACCCGGUUGUCAAGGCGGUACCAAAAGAAUAAGCACCGGAAAACUGCG
rnacentral:rRNA from 1 species